CUCAGCCUCCCUCAGCGUCCGGAGUAGCUAGGACUACAGGCGCCCGCUACCACGCCCGGCUAAUUUUUUUGUAGUUUUAGUAGAGACGGGGUUUCACCGUGUUAGCCAGGAUGGUCUCCAUCUCCUGACCUCGUGAUCCGCCCGCCUCGGCCUCCCAAAGCGUUGGGAUUACAGGAGUGAGCCACCGCGCCCGGCCGAUAUAAAGGUAAAUGCUAUCUAAGCCACAGUAACCUUGAGAUACUGUGGGCCUGGGGCAGAGAAGAGCAUCUGUAGAAGAGGCAGUGGACCACAGUACUGGAUCUGGAAGUUCUGAGCCUUUACUUGUUGAGGAGCAGUGAGUACCUAUUUGGGAUUUCUGUGUUUAACUGCUGAAGAGAUCUUUUCCCUUCAUGGCUUUUCAAAUGCUACCCAAAUAACCAGCUCCAAAUUCUCUGUCAUCUGUCCAGCAGUCUUACAGCAAUUGAACUUUCACCCAUGUGAGGAUCGGCCCAAGCACAAAACAAGACCAAGUCAUUCAGAAGUUUGGGGAUAUGGAUUCCUGUCAGUGACGAUUAUUAAUCUGGCAUCUCU
rnacentral:lncRNA from 1 species